CACGUAGGGUGCGAGCGUUGUCCGGAAUUAUUGGGCGUAAAGCGUGCGUAGGUGGUUGUUUAAGUCUGUUGUGAAAGCCCUGGGCUCAACCUGGGAAUUGCAGUGGAUACUGGGCGACUAGAGUGUGGUAGAGGGUAGUGGAAUUCCCGGUGUAGCAGUGAAAUGCGUAGAGAUCGGGAGGAACAUCCAUGGCGAAGGCAGCUACCUGGACCAACACUGACACUGAGGCACGAAAGCGUGGGGAGCAAACAGG
rnacentral:rRNA from 1 species